CUUAACACAUGCAAGUCGAGGGGCAGCAUGGUCUUAGCUUGCUAAGGCCGAUGGCGACCGGCGCACGGGUGAGUAACACGUAUCCAACCUGCCGUCUACUCUUGGACAGCCUUCUGAAAGGAAGAUUAAUACAAGAUGGCAUCAUGAGUCCGCAUGUUCACAUGAUUAAAGGUAUUCCGGUAGACGAUGGGGAUGCGUUCCAUUAGAUAGUAGGCGGGGUAACGGCCCACCUAGUCUUCGAUGGAUAGGGGUUCUGAGAGGAAGGUCCCCCACAUUGGAACUGAGACACGGUCCAAACUCCUACGGGAGGCAGCAGUGAGGAAUAUUGGUCAAUGGGCGAGAGCCUGAACCAGCCAAGUAGCGUGAAGGAUGACUGCCCUAUGGGUUGUAAACUUCUUUUAUAAAGGAAUAAAGUCGGGUAUGGAUACCCGUUUGCAUGUACUUUAUGAAUAAGGAUCGGCUAACUCCGUGCCAGCAGCCGCGGUAAUACGGAGGAUCCGAGCGUUAUCCGGAUUUAUUGGGUUUAAAGGGAGCGUAGAUGGAUGUUUAAGUCAGUUGUGAAAGUUUGCGGCUCAACCGUAAAAUUGCAGUUGAUACUGGAUAUCUUGAGUGCAGUUGAGGCAGGCGGAAUUCGUGGUGUAGCGGUGAAAUGCUUAGAUAUCACGAAGAACUCCGAUUGCGAAGGCAGCCUGCUAAGCUGCAACUGACAUUGAGGCUCGAAAGUGUGGGUAUCAAACAGGAUUAGAUACCCUGGUAGUCCACACGGUAAACGAUGAAUACUCGCUGUUUGCGAUAUACUGCAAGCGGCCAAGCGAAAGCGUUAAGUAUUCCCACCUGGGGAGUACGCCGGCAACGGUGAAACUCGAAGGAAUUGACGGGGGCCCGCACAAGCGGAGGAACAUGUGGUUUAAUUCGAUGAUACGCGAGGAACCUUACCCGGGCUUAAAUUGCAGAUGAAUUACGGUGAAAGCCGUAAGCCGCAAGGCAUCUGUGAAGGUGCUGCAUGGUUGUCGUCAGCUCGUGCCGUGAGGUGUCGGCUUAAGUGCCAUAACGAGCGCAACCCUUGUUGUCAGUUACUAACAGGUUCCGCUGAGGACUCUGACAAGACUGCCAUCGUAAGAUGUGAGGAAGGUGGGGAUGACGUCAAAUCAGCACGGCCCUUACGUCCGGGGCUACACACGUGUUACAAUGGGGGGUACAGAGGGCCGCUACCACGCGAGUGGAUGCCAAUCCCCAAAACCUCUCUCAGUUCGGACUGGAGUCUGCAACCCGACUCCACGAAGCUGGAUUCGCUAGUAAUCGCGCAUCAGCCACGGCGCGGUGAAUACGUUCCCGGGCCUUGUACACACCGCCCGUCAAGCCAUGGGAGCCGGGGGUACCUGAAGUGCGUAACCGCGAGGAGCGCCCUAGGGUAAAACUGGUGACUGGGGC
rnacentral:rRNA from 1 species